rnacentral:miRNA from 1 species
AAUUUGGUUUCUGAGGCACUUAGU